rnacentral:lncRNA from 1 species
AAAGAAUGAAAUAAUGAAGCAUUAAACAAUGUAUGAGUGUAAGUGCAAAGGAACCGGCUCAUUGUAAGAAAGCCCAAGAGUAAGCUAUGUGAGGUCGAUGGCGAUGCUUAAAAAGCAAUCGACUUACAAGGGUGUAAAAAAUGGGCUCGAUAUUAAAUCGAGAAAAAUAUGAUUUUUAUAGUUUUAAAAUGGUUUUGAAUUAAAUUAAAAUACAACAACUUUACAUUAUUAACAAAAUGAACAUAUGAGUGUAAUAAAGUCAUAAACAUAAAAAGAAACGAAAAUGCUAAAAGAAAAAAUAAUAUAGCUAAAAGAAAUAAAAUGCCAAAAAAUGCCACACAUGAGUAUUAAACCCACCCCACUCAAGAAUAUACACACUGCCCUUCUCCACCAGACCACUUAUGAUCAUCUGCUACUGUGAUACUAUGUUAAAUAUAUAAAUCGAGAUAAAA